rnacentral:rRNA from 1 species
AGCAGCCGCGGUAAUUCCAGCUCCAAUAGCGUAUAUUAAAGUUGUUGCAGUUAAAAAGCUCGUAGUUGAAUUUCGGGAUUGGCGCAUCGGUCGUGCCUCACGGGGUAUGAACUGGUGCAGUCAAUUUCUCACCUUCUGGAGAACCGCGAUGUCCUUAAUUGGAUGCCGCGGGGAACCAGGACCUUUACUUUGAAAAAUUAGAGUGUUUAAAGCAGGCAUUUUUGCUUGAAUACAUUAGCAUGGAAUAAUAAAAUAGGACGGCAUGGUUCUAUUUUGUUGGUUUCUAGGACCACCGUAAUGAUUAAUAGGGAUAGUUGGGGGCAUUAGUAUUCAAUUGUCAGAGGUGAAAUUCUUGGAUUUAUUGAAGACUAACUACUGCGAAAGCAUUUGCCAAGGAUGUUUUCAUUAAUCUAAGAACGAAAGUUAAGGGGACCGAAGACGAUCAGAUACCGUCGUAGUCUUAACCAUAAACUAUGCCGACUAGGAAUCAGACGAUGUUAAUUUUUAAUGUACUCG